GGAUAGCUCGAUCCGUUAGAGCGUGGUGUUGAUAACGCCAAGGUUGCAGGUUCAAUCCCCAUUUGAGACA